GACGAACGCUGGCGGCGUGCUUAACACAUGCAAGUCGAGCGGUAAGGCCCUUUCGGGGGUACACGAGCGGCGAACGGGUGAGUAACACGUGGGUGACCUGCCCUUAGCUCUGGGAUAAGCCUGGGAAACUGGGUCUAAUACCGGAUAUGACUCCAUGACGCAUGUUGUGGGGUGGAAAGCCUUGUGCGGCUAGGGAUGGACCCGCGGCCUAUCAGCUUGUUGGUGGGGUGAUGGCCUACCAAGGCGACGACGGGUAGCCGGCCUGAGAGGGCGACCGGCCACACUGGGACUGAGACACGGCCCAGACUCCUACGGGAGGCAGCAGUGGGGAAUCUUGCGCAAUGGGCGAAAGCCUGACGCAGCGACGCCGCGUGAGGGAUGACGGCCU
rnacentral:rRNA from 1 species